rnacentral:rRNA from 1 species
GCGGCAGGCCUAACACUGCAAGUCGAGGGGUAACAGGGAAAAGCUUGCUUUUCCGCUGACGACCGGCGCACGGGUGCGUAACGCGUAUGCAACCUACCUCUUACUGGGGUAUAGCCCAGAGAAAUUUGGAUUAAUCCCCCAUAGUACCAUUUAAUCGCAUGGUUGAAUGGUUAAAGGUUACGGUAAGAGAUGGGCAUGCGUCCCAUUAGUUAGUUGGUGAGGUAAUGGCUCACCAAGACUCCGAUGGGUAGGGGUUCUGAGAGGAUGAUCCCCCACACUGGUACUGAGACACGGACCAGACUCCUACGGGAGGCAGCAGUGAGGAAUAUUGCGCAAUGGACGAAAGUCUGACGCAGCCAUGCCGCGUGCAGGAUGACGGCGCUAUGCGUUGUAAACUGCUUUUAUUUACAAAGAAACCUCGGGACGUGUCCCGAGCUGACGGUAGUAUUUGAAUAAGCACCGGCUAA